rnacentral:rRNA from 1 species
GACGAACGCUGGCGGCGUGCUUAACACAUGCAAGUCGAACGCUGAAGCGUGGUGCUUGCUCUGCGGGGAUUAGUGGCGGACGGGUGAGUAAUAAGUGGGUAACCUGCCCUUGACUCUGGGAUAAGCCUGGGAAACCGGGUCUAAUACUGGAUACGACAUUUCACCGCAUGGUGGUGUGGGGAAAGGGGUUUAUUGGUUUUGGAUGGGCUCAAGGCCUAUCAGCUUGUUGGGUGGGUAAUGGCUCACCAAGGCAACGACGGGUAGCCUGCCUGAGAGGGGGGCCGGGCACCAGGGGACUGAGAGAGGGACCAGACGGCAACGGGAGGCAGCAGGGGGGAAUAUUGCGGAAUGGGCGGACGUCUGAUGCAGAGACGCCGCGUGAGGGAUGACGGCUUUCGGGGUAUAAACCUCUUUCAGAGUGGAAGAAGCGGACGUGACGGUACGUGCAGAAGAAGCGACGGCUAACUACGUG